CUGUUAUUAAAAUGACUUGGUUUUCAGUUUCCUAAUUCUCAACAAGUUUGCAUUUCCAAAAUAAAAAAGACUAACAAAUCCUUCUACUAAGAGUGCUGAUAAGGGCAACAGUGAUAGAACAUCGAUAUCACAGAAGAAAAAAAAGAGAACUUCAGAUAGCUCCAACAAAACCAUUCCAUGAUUACAAAUGUCAAUCUUUACAUCAACCUUAAAUGAGUAUCUUCGUUCUGCCAAAUAGCAAAGCAUCGAAAUUGUUAGAAAUCAAAAUAUUGUGAACAUAGAGGAAAAAACAUCUCUUCACAAAUAUCACUACAGGCAGUUUCUAUCUUCGUUCCUGAUCUUCUAGAUCAUUAGCCAAAUAUCAAUGUAUCUCCAUUCUCAGAAAGGUGCAUUGAGCCAUUGACAACCAUUGAGUCAAAGAUAAUCUCAACUCUUGAUUCCGUCAUCUGCCACAUGACAAAAUUGGUUGUCAUCAAAUAAUGAGAAAAA
rnacentral:lncRNA from 1 species